GCCUGGGCUGGGGUGCCGGGGAAGCAAGCGCAGCCAACCAACGCCUUCGAUUCGGUCGCCUCCGCCUGGUUGGCACAGUUGGGGUGCUCUCCUCCCAGCCUUUUCUUUCCUUUCCUCUUUGGCUUUGUCGUUCCAAGAUCCAAGCUCCGCUGAUUUCGGAUCUGCGUCGUCGCCGGGUAGAUCCCUGCGCGGCUCUCGUUCCCCACGCCGGCCCCGGACGCUGGCAGGUCUCAGCGACGCCCGUCGGUUAGGAGGCGGCGGGGCCCGACGUCUCGGCGCCGGCGUCCGGCUGUUCCGCGGCGAGAUCGUCCGGAGCCGGAGCGGCUGCAUGGUACUCCGGAUUGGUCUCCGGGACGCGUCGGCCGACGAGGAGCUCGCUCCUGGCGCGGUACCCGUACGCGCUCCUCCCAAUCCUGUAAAGUAUCUUCAGCGACGAACCAAAUGCCUAGAAGAGGCUUCUGGGUUCUGACCGAUCUAUCCGCCUCCACACCGGUGGGAUUUCACCGGCCCGAAUACCCUGACUUGCCCUCGGACACAAAUCAGAGGCGCUGAUGAAUCGUGUGUCCUCGUCUUCAGAUGGCCAAACUUUUUUCUCGAGAAGUUCCAGACCACAGAUUUCCUCAUGGAACCACGGUCAGCAUCAUCCAGGCUUGUCUGGUAAUAAUCACUGAACCCGUCACAUUACCUGAACCUAAACUAUUACCACCAGCCACUGCUCCUGUGGCAAACGGAAGGAAAGAUGCCAUGGUCCUGCUGGAGACUGGAGCCA